rnacentral:tRNA from 1 species
GGGCCGGUAGCUUAGUCAGGUAGAGCAACGGGCUCUUAACCCGUCGGCCAAGGGUUCAAAUCCCUUUCGGCCCG